UACAGAGGGGGCUAGCGUUGUUCGGAAUUACUGGGCGUAAAGGGCGCGUAGGUGGCCUGUUAAGUCGAACGUGAAAUCCCCGGGCUCAACCCGGGAACUGCGUCCGAGACUGGCAGGCUCGAAUCCGGGAGAGGGAUGUGGAAUUCCAGGUGUAGCGGUGAAAUGCGUAGAUAUCAGGAGGAACACCGGUGGCGAAGGCGGCUUUCUGGACAGAUACCGACGCUGAGGCACGAAAGCUAGGGGAGCAAACAGG
rnacentral:rRNA from 1 species